rnacentral:rRNA from 1 species
GACGAACGCUGGCGGCGUGCUUAACACAUGCAAGUCGAGCGGUAAGGCCCUUUCGGGGGUACACGAGCGGCGAACGGGUGAGUAACACGUGGGUGACCUGCCCUCAGCUCUGGGAUAAGCCUGGGAAACUGGGUCUAAUACUGGAUAUGACUCCACGGUGCAUGUCGUGGGGUGGAAAGCCUUGUGCGGCUGAGGAUGGGCCCGCGGCCUAUCAGCUUGUUGGUGGGGUGANGGCCUACCAAGGCGACGACGGGUAGCCGGCCUGAGAGGGCGACCGGCCACACUGGGACUGAGAUACGGCCCAGACUCCUACGGGAGGCAGCAGUGGGGAAGUCUUGCGCAAUGGGCGAAAGCCUGACGCAGCGACGCCGCGUGAGGGAUGACGGCCU